CACACACAGCUGUCGCACAUGACACAGCCACAAGAUCUUCACCACCACCUAGCCAUCCCACGACCAUAAGAUCUCACACCACCUCUCCCUGCACCACCAUCAUCAUCAUCUCCGGUCACCCUCACAUCGCUACACCACUAGUCAACGGUCGGCACCUGAGAGCCUCGUCAUCCUUACUGCCUCUCUCCCACUCUACCAGCACAGAUCCGAACCCAGCUCUCCCAUUUCUAGCCCUCUCCGAUUCUCUAUGAGCACGCCGUAACCAUCUGCAAGUACCACCGUAUUAGCUCCGGCCAUAUAAUAGCCGUCAGCGUUCUCUGCCAUACCACCGUCACCAUCGUCACCCUUGCCUGCAGACCAGCCAAAGAACUUGCUCCCAUGAUAGCAGUGGUAGUCCUUCAUACAGCCGCACCGGGGAAACGCCAUAGCCACGCGAACGAAUCUCCCUAUCUCUCCCACUUUCAUUGCUUGAACUAGCGCCAUUGUCUGUCACCAGCAUUGUCGUCUCGCACUAGCUCCGGUGGCCUCCUAUAGUUCUCGAGGGAACUGUACCUAGCUUACCUCGGGGUUGGGAUUUGACUUCUGGGAGUGGUUAUCAUAACUGGUGAGAUACCAGAUGUCUUCUUUUGUUAUUUUGGGAUUGUAAUAUACAGGCAGACUGUGUAUGUGUGUAUUUGGGAACAGAUAGAACUUUGGUAAAGUGGUGGUUAGAUGUUUUAGAAUUCUUCCAUUGUAUGGUUUAAUUUUAGUAAUGGCAGGUGCACCUAGGAUUUCCUGGUUAGGGCAGGUUGCAUCUAUAUAUGCUUCAGUUGGUAUAAGAGAGUUUAUAUGUUUUACACUAGCAUCUCGGACCCACGUGGCGGGUCGAGGCGCUACAGUUGAUGUUUUAAUAUUUAAAGUUUAAAUUUUUGUUGUCUUAA